GCGACAGUCGCAUAGCCUGGUAUUGCGCAGGAUUGCUAAUCCUGUGGGUUUCACCCGCGCGAGUUCAAAUCUCGUCUGUCGCGCCA
rnacentral:tRNA from 1 species